UUUCCCCCCUUCUUCCUUUUUUUCCAUUUUUCCUUUUUUCAAUUUCCCCCCUCCCUUUACUUUUCCUUCCCCACUUUCCCUUUCCUUUCACCACUGGUAGCUGCGUCGAGCUCCAAUGUCUAAUGCCCAACCCCAUUUGCUUUAGCUCCAACGACCACUGCAUGCUACCUUCGACGCCGCCGCAUGCUACCUUCGAUGCUGCUGCAUGCUACCUUUGAGCCGUUGCAUGCUACCUUUGACGCCACUACACGCUAGAUCCAACGUCGCCACACACUAGUUCUGAUGCCGCCGAAUGAUUCACACUAUUCUCCACAUUUCUGUUCCACCCCACCAUUCGAAUCUUCACCCAACGAUCGUAGUUCCCACCCCCACUCCUCCCUGUUGGCGUCACCUCCCCUUUCCUCUUCCGUAAACUCUUUGUGCUUCUUCAUAAGGAAAAUCAGUAAGCGUCUUUCCUACAAAGUUUAGCAACACCAUUGAGACUAUGACUAAAAUCACAAGACAGUUUGUUGUGCAACAAAAGCAAGGAGAUGGACCUUCGAAUAACUAUGUAACUUAUGAAAACUUUUAGUUAUGGUUAGUGGAUUUAGGAACUUUAUUUGGUUGUUGUGUGGCUAUCCUGCAGUUAUGGUAGCCACUUCAAAUAUGAGCGUUUUAGUGGAUUUAGGAACUUCAUUUGUUUGUUUUGUGGCUAUCUUGCAAUUAUGGUAGCCACUUUAAAUAUGUGUGUUUUAGUGUAUUUAUUAUCACUUUGUAGGUUUAAAGAGCAUUUAAGACUAUUGAAUUACGUUCGUAGCUUGAGGGGAGGGGUUCAAUUUGAUGCUUUCUAUGUAUUUGUUGGUAUUUUGUAGGUUUAAAUGGUGUUUAGGUGGAACUAGGACACAUUCGUAGCUUGGGAGAUGUAUACGUACGUUCUAAUUGUUUUUUAGAUUAUCUUGAAGCCUAAAUGUGCAGUUUAAAGGAAAUUUAUUCUUGGCUUAUUUGUAGGGAUCCGAGAGUUGAGUUAUAUGCUUUUAGGACUAUCAAAUGAUGGGUUUAGUUUUGAAAGAAAUUUUGAAUUGCUUCAAGAUAAUCUAAAAAACAAUUAGAACAUAUACGUCCCCCUUCCCCCUACUACGAAUGUAUCCUAGAUCCACUUAAACGCCAUUUAAACUUACAAAGUAGCGACAAUUUAAAUGAACUUUUUUCUUAGCUUAUUUGUAGGGAUCUGACAAUUGAGUUAAAUGUUUUUAAGUCUAUCAAAUAACAGGUUUAGUCUUGAGAGAAAUUUAGGUGAAAUUUAGGGGGGAGGCAUUCAGUUCAACGCUUUUUAUGUAAUUGUUGCUACUUUGUAGGUUUAAAUGGCGGUUAGGUGGAACUACGAUAUGUUUAUAGGGGGAGGAGGGGGGGACGUAUAUGUUCUAAUUGUUUUUUAGAUUAUCUUGAAGCCUAAAUGUGCACUUUAAAGAAACUUUGUUCUUGGCUUAUUUGUAGAGAUCCGAGAAUUAAGUUAUAUGCUUUUAAGACUAUUGAAUAAUAGGUUUAGUCUUGAAAGAAAUUUAGGUGCAUUUAGGGGGGAGGGGUGUAAUUGUUGCUACUUUGUAGGUUUAAAUGGCGUUUAGGUGGAACUAGGACAUGUUCCUAGCGGGGGAAAGGAGGGACGUAUAUGUUCUAAUUGUUUUUUAGGUUAUCUUGAAGCCUAAAUGUGCACUUUAAAGAAACUUUGUUCUUCGCUUAUUUGUAGAGAUCCGAGAAUUAAGUUAUAUGCUUUUAAGACUAUCGAAUAAUAGGUUUAGUCUUGAAAGAAAUUUAGGUGGAUUUAGGGGGGAGGGGUGCAAUUGUUGCUACUUUGUAGGUUUAAAUGGCAUUUAGGUGGAACUAGGACAUGUUCCUAGCGGGGGAAAGGAGGGACGUAUAUGUUCUAAUUGUUUUUUAGGUUAUCUUGAAGCCUAAUUGUGCACUUUAAAGGAACUUUGUUCUUGGCUUAUUUGUAGGGACUCGAUAGUUGUUUAAGUUUAAAGGGCAUUUAUGUAUUUGUUUAAGUGGAUU